rnacentral:rRNA from 1 species
AUUGAACGCUGGCGGCAGGCCUAACACAUGCAAGUCGAACGAGUGGCGGACGGGUGAGUAAUGUCUUGGAAACUGCCUGAUGGAGGGGGAUAACUACUGGAAACGGUAGCUAAUACCGCAUACCAUCAGAUGUGCCCAGAUGGGAUUAGCUUGUUUGUGGGGUAACGGCUCACCAAGGCGACUAUCCCUAGCUGGCAGGAGAGGACUACCGGCCAACCUGGAACGGAGACACGGUCCAGACUCCUACGGGAGGCAGCAGUGGGGAAUAUUGUACAAUGGGCGCAAGCCUGAUGCAGCCAUGCCGCGUGUAUGAAGAAGGCCUUCGGGUUGUAAAGUACUGUCAGCGGAGAGGCGUUACCCGCAGAAGAAGCACCGGCUAACUCCGUGCCAGCCGCCGCGGUAAUUC